UCUGCUGCCCAUGCUGCUUCAUUGCAGCUGGUUCAGAGGGGAGCUACAAGAGCAUUCCGCCUUGUGUAAUUGGUCUUCCACCCACUUCUAUGCGUCUGGCAUCACUUUAUUAGCAUAGAUCAUCAAAACGACAAUACAUUGUGUAAAUGUCAAUGACACUUCCUAGAAACUGAGGGUUCGUGGACCGAUGGGAAGCAAAAGCACAAGCCCCUGUCGGGUCAGCGCCAGGCGGAGGGAUUGCAGUGGCGUCAUUGGCUAACUGCCCUCACGAAGUUUGUGCCGACGUGUUGGUGGAGAUAUACUACAGUGAAGAGAAGGGACGGCCAGGGGAGAAUGCAAGUCCCGUGGGGCUGGGCUCUGCGGCCACUGCAGCCAAGAGGACUGACCGUGAGAUAAGUAGUGUUCCCAGGGUAACACCAGAGAGAAGACAGGCAGCCCUCGCCGCUUCACAGCUGGCUCGGCUUCAA
rnacentral:lncRNA from 1 species